GACGAACGCUGGCGGCGUGCUUAACACAUGCAAGUCGAACGAAGAGCGAUGGAAGCUUGCUUCUAUCAAUCUUAGUGGCGAACGGGUGAGUAACGCGUAAUCAACCUGCCCUUCAGAGGGGGACAACAGUUGGAAACGACUGCUAAUGCCGCAUACGAUCUGACCUCGGCAUCGAGGAUAGAUGAAAGGUGGCCUCUAUUUAUAAGCUAUCACUGAAGGAGGGGAUUGCGUCUGAUUAGCUAGUUGGAGGGGUAACGGCCCACCAAGGCGAUGAUCAGUAGCCGGUCUGAGAGGAUGAACGGCCACAUUGGGACUGAGACACGGCCCAGACUCCUACGGGAGGCAGCAGUGGGGAAUCUUCCGCAAUGGACGAAAGUCUAACGGAGCAACGCCGCGUGAGUGAUGACGGCCUUCGGGUUGUAAAGCUCUGUUAAUCGGGACGAAAGGCCUUCUUGCGAAUAGUUAGAAGGAUUGACGGUACCGGAAUAGAAAGCCACGGCUAACUACGU
rnacentral:rRNA from 1 species